rnacentral:rRNA from 1 species
GCAUGCAUACAACAUAUUGUUAAUGAAGUAGAUCUCAUUAGAACUCCACAAUUAAGCGUGCUUGGGCUAGAGUAGUAUUGGGAUGGGUGACCUCUUGGGAAGUCCUACUGUUUUACAUGCC